AAUUUGUGACAAUGGGGGAAACCCUGAUCCAGCCAUGCCGCGUGGGUGAAGAAGGUCUUCGGAAUGUAAAGCACUUUAAGUUGGGAGGAAGGGCUUUAGGCUAAUACCCUGAAGUUUUGACGUUACGAACAGAAUAAGCACCGGCUAACUCUGUGCCAGCAGCCGCGGUAAUACAGAGGGUGCAAGCGUUAAUCGGAAUUACUGGGCGUAAAGCGCGCGUAGGUGGUUCAGUAAGAUGGGUGUGAAAUCCCCGGGCUUAACCUGGGAACUGCUUUCAUAACUGCUGAGCUAGAGUACGGUAGAUGGUAGUGGAAUUUCCUGUGUAGCGGUGAAAUGCGUAGAUAUAGGAAGGAACACCAGUGGCGAAGGCGACUACCUGGACUGAUACUGACACUGAGGUGCGAAAGCGUGGGGAGCAAACAGG
rnacentral:rRNA from 1 species